UUCGGUCCGGUCGCAAAAAAAAUCGAGAAAUCCUUUGAAGAUAGUGGAAAAAACCGUGGCUCAUUUCGGGAAGUUUGUGUAUCUACCUCCGCGGAAGAACCGGCAGAAUCUGUAUUCUUAUUUUUAAUUACCGUCGGGCCAAUGUCGCAAACCACCGGAAAACCAGGUGACAGAUGCUCCACUGGUUAUUGGCUUAGGAUGUGAAAUUCCGUGGUGCAAUUCGUUCCUAAUAAAUAAAAGGAAAAGGGAAAAAAAGCUCAACGCAAUUACAUAUUACUGUAUUCCCUUGGGACAUUGGCGUAAAAUGACCCUAUCGUGUGGCAAUCGAGAGGAAUGUGCGGUGAUGCCGAGGGUGAUGCUUCCUUCCGGAAGGAAAGUUUUCGCAAGGCAAAGAUUACCCGGUUGUGCUGUCACCGUGGACUGAACUGUACGAGGAAAUUUCCGCAAAGUAUACAUCCUAGGACGGGAAACAGAAAAUCGUCCGCGCCUUACACAUCAUCGAAGCCAUCCUGCUGGGUAGCCAAGACAAUCGUACUCGACUGCUGCACUAACGUAACAGCAAAUUUGCCAAGGCAAUGAAUCGCUCGCUGGGACACCUACCGUCCAAUCCCCAAAUGCUGAUGUUGGUGACCGAACUGGAUGACUUUUCAACAACAACGUUUCGAUUCAGUCAAAGUGAGUGGCUGUGAUUUGGAGCGAUUCGCCGCGCUCGAAACGAAACGGUUCUACAUUCCCGUGGACUAUUGUUCAUGCGGAGUGUGCAAAGGGCGCCAAGAAGCUGUUGAACUUUGAAAAAAAUUUAUCCAUAGCCAAUCCUACGGGCCUGGAACAAGACCAAUCAGAUCUACUCUAGGCACAGCGAUUCAAAGUGGUCAAGAAGUCGAACCAAGUUUACUGGCUUCCGGAAACUAAAUUAAUUUAAGCGACGUCCUGUUGAAGAAACCACAGACUGGACAACAAGUUGGAGGCAGACAUCCAAACAAGCUAAGUAUAAUUUGUAUCAAUGAUUGAUUGAUUUAUAGAGAUUGAUUGAUUGAGUUUGAUUAAUUGAUAUCGAUUCAUUGAGUUGAGAUUGAUUGAUUAAGAUUGAUCCAUUGAGAUUGAUUUGGAUUGAUUGAAAGUUUGAUUUAUAUUGAUUGAGAGAUUGAUUAAAAUAUUAAUUGAGAUUGAGUGACAGAUUAAUUGAAAUUGUUUGAAAGAUUUAUUUAGAUUGAUUGAGAGAUUGAUGAGUUUAAUCAUUGGCGUAACUACAGGGGGGCUAGGGGGGGCUUUGGCCCCACCUAGGAUUUAAUUAGCCCCCCUAGAACGAAGGAUUUUACGUUCCUUUGAUUCUCAACCCCAGGAAGUUGGAGUAGCAACAGUGAAUGCAUGCUGAUUCAAUGCUGGUUGAAUAAAUAAUAGUAACAAUCUAUCAGAAAAAAACUAACUUUACUGUCAAAAUUUUCUGAAAAUUUUGAAUUGCUAGUAAACACGCUGGGCUUGAGUAGCUAACCUUUAAAUGAGA